UACGUAGGGUGCGAGCGUUGUCCGGAAUUAUUGGGCGUAAAGAGCUCGUAGGCGGUUCGUCACGUCGGCUGUGAAAUCCCGAGGCUCAACCUCGGGUCUGCAGUCGAUACGGGCGGACUGGAGUACUGCAGGGGAGACUGGAAUUCCUGGUGUAGCGGUGAAAUGCGCAGAUAUCAGGAGGAACACCGAUGGCGAAGGCAGGUCUCUGGGCCACUACUGACGCUGAGAAGCGAAAGCAUGGGGAGCGAACAGG
rnacentral:rRNA from 1 species